AACCUCCGUAUGCAGGGGGACAACAGUCAGAAAUGACUGCUAAUACCGCAUAAGCACACAAUGCUGCAUGGCAUGGUGUGAAAAGAUUUAUCGGCAUACGAUGGCCCCGCGUCUGAUUAGCCAGUUGGCAGGGUAAUGGCCUACCAAAGCAACGAUCAGUAGCCGGCUUGAGAGAGUGACCGGCCACAUUGGGACUGAGACACGGCCCAGACUCCUACGGAAGGCAGCAG
rnacentral:rRNA from 1 species